GGGAGAUUUCCCGAGCGGUCAAAGGGGGCAGACUGUAAAUCUGUUGCGUUAUGCUUCGGUGGUUCGAAUCCACCAUCUCCCACCA
rnacentral:tRNA from 1 species